GGGAGGAUGUUAACAGGGAUUGCCCUAGUAACGGCGAGUGAAGCGGCAAUAGCUCAAAUUUGAAAUCUGGCCCUCGUGGUCCGAGUUGUAAUUUGUAGAGGAUGCUUUUGGUGCGGUGCCUUCCGAGUUCCCUGGAACGGGACGCCAGAGAGGGUGAGAGCCCCGUACGGUUGGACACCUACCCUAUAUAUAGCUCCUUCGACGAGUCGAGUAGUUUGGGAAUGCUGCUCUAAAUGGGAGGUAAAUUUCUUCUAAAGCUAAAUACCGGCCAGAGACCGAUAGCGCACAAGUAGAGUGAUCGAAAGAUGAAAAGCACUUUGAAAAGAGGGUUAAAUASCMCGUGAAAUUGUUGAAAGGGAAGCGUUUGCGACCAGACCUUUUCCMGGGGGAUCAUCCGGUGUUCUCACCGGUGCACUUCCCCUGGUUUAGGCCAGCAUCGGUUUUCUUAGGGGGAUAAAGGCUUAGGGAACGUGGCUCUUUCGGGAGUGUUAUAGCCCUUUGCGUAAUACCCCUCGGGGGACCGAGGACCGCGCUCUGCAAGGAUGCUGGCGUAAUGGUCGUCAACGACCCGUCUUGAAACACGGACCAAGGAGUCGAACAUUUGUGCGAGUGUUUGGGUGUUAAACCCUCACGCGUAAUGAAAGUGAACGGAGGUGAGAGCCCUUACGGGUGCAUCAUCGACCGAUCCUGAUGUCUUCGGAUGGAUUUGAGUAAGAGCAUAACUGUUCGGACCCGAAAGAUGGUGAACUAUGCGUGGAUAGGGUGAAGCCAGAGGAAACUCUGGUGGAGGCUCGCAGCGGUUCUGACGUGCAAAUCGAUCGUCAAAUCUGCGCAUGGGGGCGAAAGACUUAUCGAACCAUUGAAACCAGCGGUAAAAUUUCAUUUACUAGGUGGUUAAGAGGUCCCCUGGGAGGGGGGCCUAGGUUUAUGUGCCAGUUUACCCUAUAGUUACCCUAUAGUUACCCUGGARCUACCCUAUACCUACCUUGGARCUACCCUGUAGCUACCCUGGARGAGGGGGUGCCCCGGARUGCUGGCGCSGCCGACACCGCUAAAUUGCGGGAAAGUCCUAUAUAAGGCCGCAGGCUACCGCCGGGCGCUGAAAAGCGCCCUGGCACCAAGAAUAGCGCUCUUGGGUAUGGUAAAAACGCCUGUGGUAGCGGACGACCUGCAGCCAACCCCGCAGAUGACAGGGGAGAGUUCACUGACUAAAUAGCGGUGGGUUAGCGUGCACGCUAGCCUAAGACAUAGUCGAUCCGGCGCCUGAAAAGGCGCCUACCCUAUAGGUGUUUACCCUAUAGAUACCUACCCUAUAGGUAGGUAGCGAUCAAUGG
rnacentral:rRNA from 1 species